rnacentral:rRNA from 1 species
AUUGAACGCUGGCGGCAUGCCUUACACAUGCAAGUCGAACGGCAGCACGGGUGCUUGCACCUGGUGGCGAGUGGCGAACGGGUGAGUAAUACAUCGGAACGUACCUUGUCGUGGGGGAUAACGCAGCGAAAGCUGUGCUAAUACCGCAUACGCCCUGAGGGGAAAAGCGGGGGAUCGCAAGACCUCGCGCGAUUAGAGCGGCCGAUGCCUGAUUAGCUUGUUGGUGGGGUAAAGGCCCACCAAGGCGACGAUCAGUAGCUGGUCUGAGAGGACGAUCAGCCACACUGGGACUGAGACACGGCCCAGACUCCUACGGGAGGGAGCAGUGGGGAAUUUUGGACAAUGGGGGCAACCCUGAUCCAGCAAUGCCGCGUGAGUGAAGAAGGCCUUCGGGUUGUAAAGCUCUUUUGUCAGGGAAGAAACACCGGCUCUAACACAGUCCGGGAAUGACGGUACCUGAAGAAUAAGCACCGGCUAACUACGUGCCAGCAGCCGCGGUAA